rnacentral:misc_RNA from 1 species
CAACUUUCCGGAUUAUUUGCCGUUAUCUGUUAACAUUAAAAAUAUAGCAUGUGUAAUAUAAGGGCAUUGUUAUCUCACCCGCAUUGUUGUAAGACUAGGCUUUCUCGAUGUUUUCAAUAAAAAAUUAUUACAAAUUCAGUAGUAAAUUAACGCUCGAAUGAGGUGUUUAGAAUGAAUCUCUGGAUUACAAAAGGAGUCACAUUUUGCCUCCACCAAAGUUCUAAAAAUGUAUCUAUGCGUUUUCGCGCGCUACUUUUACGGAUUUUAUUUUUAAGCAUACUGUGUACGUUAAGUUCAGCCGAUUUCUUAGAACAGCGUGGACAACUAACUACAGCUACGACUAUUCAUCCCUUUAAUUUGGGGUUUUAUAGCAAACCCUCAAGUAUUGAAUCAGGCAGAAUCACCAUAAAACGAUCUGCACCUUCAAAAUAUUACUCAGCCUACAGACGACUCAAAUAUAAGCCACGAAGAACGUUUCCUUUUGAAUAUUUCGAUUAUGAUUACGACUAUUGGUUGCCCCCAAGACUAAGAGACAGAGUACGAAAUCGCGUUAGAAGACCGACAGGUUUUGAGGACGUCAAUUAUUAUGAAUAUGAUGAAGGAUUCAGACCUCAUAAAUGGAAAGGACAAAGAAAGGGUAAUAGAAAUUCAAAUAAAAAAGGGUCAAGUUUUUAUAGCGAUGAAGAUUUAAGCGAGGAAGUAGAGAGGGUUACCCCGAUCAUUAAACCCAGGCAACGACAAACUACCACGGCCACCACCACCGAAGAACCAACAACUCUGCCUAGUAUGGCCAACGUCACUAACGCCACCACUUCUAGUACUACAGCUACGCCAAGCACGACUCUCUCGUCUGGAUAUGGCUAUGGACCCAGCUCCAACGUGAAUGUUAGCAUAACUUAUGGUCCACCCUCCAUUCCCAAACCUCUAUAUGGUAUUCCAGGUGCCUCACCAGGAGCUCCUAUAGGGUCCUGGGUACCCAGUUUCGGUUCUAGUUUGUCCUAUCCAGCCGAUUCUAGCUAUUAUUUUCACCCUUCAAAUGAUCGACCAAUCAGGCCCUCCCAUAAAGACUACACUGUCCACAAUGCUGAUAAUUCUUAUAAAACACAUUACCAGAUACCCCAUCAGACUAGUUAUCAAUUAUCAGGGUUUGAUUCCGGACCGCCAAACAGCUAUAGCUUCUCUUCGAAGGCUCACUCAGGAAGGUAUCAUAAUUAUCAUUUGGACAAUGAUUGGCUCAAACAGACAAAAACGGAAAAGCAUCUGGAUAACCAGUAUCUACAGAGCCACAUUAUAUGAUUUGAACGAGUAUUUUUAUUUUCAUUGAAACUAUACUUCACUGUAAAACAGCCCAGUCUAAGUAUAGAUUAAGAAAGCUGAAUAUACAGGGUAAGUACGUUUGUUUUGAGAAGCGCGCAAAAAUGAUAAAUCAAAAAAAUCCGGGGAAGUUUAAGAUAUACAAUUUAAUAUUAUUUUUGUGUAUCGUGUUUUAUAGAAGUGUAGCGAAUAUAACAUAUUUAUAUGCUUUUUUAAGUAACGCACUAUUUAUUAUUUUAAUUUUAGAUUGUACGUAAAAUUUAGUAACUUUUUUAUAUAUAAUAUUGAAUACCUAAAAUUAGUACUUUACAAUAGUUUAAUUUCUUUAAAAAAAUGUCAAAUUCUGUUUUUGUGGGUCCGCCAACUGUAAACCAGCCAAAUUAGUUGUUUAUUUCAAUUAUUUUCUUUACAUAUUUUAAACACGUAACAAUUAACCACCAAUUAACACUAUCUGAGCAUACGAAAUAUAAACACGGAAAGAAACUUUUAUUUUUGUGGUAUAUUAUAAAAAAUUAAAGCUAUAAAAGCGCAAAUGGACGGUUUCCCGCUGAUGUGAAAAAAGAUAUCGGUAAAUUACAAGGACAGGAAAGAAUGUAUGUCCCUCAUUAUAUUCAUAAAUUAUCGUUAGUUCAUAUAUAUAUAUAUAUCGGUCACACACGCAGUCAAAUAUAAUUUAUAGAGAAUUUAAUACUGAUAGAAAUGUAAAACUUUGAACUUGUCCAGAACCAGUAGACCUAAAUAUCUAUAUUAUUAAAAAAAAGUCAACGCUUAGUCGCAAUGAGUAUAAACUUUAGGCCGGCUGACAAAAAUAAUAAAAAAAAACAUAAUUGUGCGUAGAUAAUAUAAGGGUGCAUAUGGGGAGGGUGCCAUGCCAGGUGUGCUCUAUGAAGACUCGCUAAGUGUAGCAACUCGUACACGGGGUAGAAUCACAUAGCCGUAGGUACGGUAGUUUUGUUGGGAAAUAUUUAAAUGGAAAAUUUAAAAAAUCAUUCAAAACUACCGAGGUGACUGUUAAUUUUAACCUGGCGCGGAUACUUUUUCCCGUGCAUCUGAAGGUCUACAAAUCGGUAACAGCUGAAAAAAGACACGAGCGUAACAUUUCGAAAAACGACGCUAGGUAUAUAAAUUUAAUAUCGCGCUUAUCGCGGACCUCCGAUAAAAAUAAAAGAUGAGAAUAAAUAGAAAUCGGGACGCGGUUUACAGACUGAACACAUGGGACCGACGAAAAGACAGUUGGGCGAGAAAACGUGUGCUAAUGAUGGAGUUUAUUUUGAGACACAUUUAAAACAUAUUAUUUUCUAAAUUAAGAUCGCGAAGACCCCCGAUUGAGGUUGUUCUUUUCGCGUGUUUUAUUUUGCUAAAACGUACACACGGCCAGU